ensembl:lncRNA
GGCAACCAGGACCCUGAUUAAAUAUCUCCUGAGGGCCCUGGAGAGCCUGUGAAACGAUCUCCCAGACCCAGAAGGAGAUCCUGGCACCAACAGGACCUGAGCUGAAAAAUCAAAAGGUGCGGAAUAUAAUCCAAUAACAGAUCCAGCUUAGAAAUCUCAACAGGUAAUGAGACUCACAUCAACAAGAGCUGAAUUCUAUCCCAAAAGAAUGCUGUGUGCAUAAUGUAUGAAGUUUUCAGAAAAACAGUCUUGAACAGACAAUUCGUCUGACCUUGGAUAAACCAGCGAUGAAAGGCACUACAACUCCCAUUUGGUAGAAUUCCAGCCUCUGGAGUACCCCAGACUUGGCAGCUUUACCCUUCUCUGCCCAUGGAAGUACUUGAUCCAUUCUGCUCCUUAAGCUGAAAAUCCUACUUGGUCCAGGGACUCACUCCCCUGUGCUUCAGGGACUGAUGGAGCUAAAACCGCCACCCUUUCCUGGCACUCAAUCACAGAAAAUUCUUGAUAGACCCUUGAACUGCAAGGGGAUCCAGUCAGUCAAUCCUAAAGGAAAUCAGUCCUGAAUUGGAAAGACUGAGGCUGAAGCUCCAAUACUUUGGCCACUUGAUGGGAAGAACUAACUCCUUAGAAAAGACCCGAUGCUGGGAAAGACCAAAGGCAAGAAGAGAAGGAGACAACAGAGAAUAAGAUGGUUGAAUGGCAUCACCGACUCGAUGGACAUGAGUAUAUUCCACAAAAUACCUGAGCAGUGUGCUUCAAAACUGUGAAAGUCAACAAAAACAAGAAAAAUCUGAGAAAUUGUCACAGAGCAGAGGAGUCUAAGGAGACAUGAUAGCUAAAUGUAAUGUCAUGUCCUGAAGAGGAUCCUGGAACAGAAAAAGACAUUAGAUUAAACAGUAAGAAAACCUGAAUGAAAGGUGGUGCUUAGUCAAUAAUAAUGAUGUAUCAGUACUCUUCUCUUAAUUGUAACAAACGUGUUCUCCUAGGUAAGAUGUUGAUUGCAGGGGACUUGGGGAAUUGCGUGAUGUGUAGGGUAUACUGGAACACUUGGUUCUCUGUUUACAAUUUCUCUGUAUAUUUCAAACAGUUGUGAAAAAUCAAGUUUAUUUGAAAAUUAUUAUAAAGACUAUCUCAGAACAUCAUUUUGUAACUAUUUGGUCACUAGCCUCUGUAAGUGAAGUGAUUAAAACUUGAAUAUACAUAAAUUUUGUUGGGAAAAACACACCAGUGUCAUUUAAUCUGUUUUAUUUUAAAUUAGUUAAAAUUUAUCUCUAAGGGAAGUAAUGUGCAAUUAACAAAUGGUUUAGUCUUGCUCACUUUUGUAAGUAUUGCAUGCAUGCUCAGUCAUGUCCGACUGUUUUUCGACCCUGUGGACUGUAG